CCUACGGGAGGCUGCAGUGAGGCAUAUUGGUCAAUGGACGCAAGUCUGAACCAGCCAUGCCGCGUGCAGGAUGACGGCUCUAUGAGUUGUAAACUGCUUUUGUACGGGGGUAAACCCCGAUACGUGUAUCGGGUUGAAAGUAUCGUACGACUAAGGAUCGGCUAACUCCGUGCCAGCAGCCGCGGUAAUACGGAGGAUCCGAGCGUUAUCCGGAUUUAUUGGGGUUAAAGGGUGCGUAGGCGGUUUGAUAAGUUAGAGGUGAAAGGUCGGGGCCCAACCCCGAAACUGCCUCUAAUACUGUUGGACUAGAGAAUAGUUGCGGUAGGCGGAAUGUAUGGUGUAGCGGUGAAAUGCUUAGAGAUCAUACAGAACACCGAUGGCGAAGGCAGCUUACCAAACUAUAUCUGACGUUGAGGCACGAAAGCGUGGGUAGCAAACAGGAUUAGAUACCCGGGUAGUC
rnacentral:rRNA from 1 species